GUCAUGAUUGGGUUGAGGCAGAAGAGGAAGAAAGAUUA
rnacentral:rRNA from 1 species